GUGCUCGCUUUGCAGCACAUACACUAAACCUGGAACGAUACAGAGAAGAUUAGCAGGCCCCUGAGCAAGGAUGGCGCGAAUCUGUGAAGCGUUUCAUAUAAAA